rnacentral:rRNA from 1 species
UACGUAGGGUGCGAGCGUUGUCCGGAAUUAUUGGGCGUAAAGAGCUCGUAGGCGGUUUGUCGCGUCGACUGUGAAAACCCGAGGCUUAACCUCGGGCCUGCAGUCGAUACGGGCAGACUAGAGUUCGGUAGGGGAGACUGGAAUUCCUGGUGUAGCGGUGAAAUGCGCAGAUAUCAGGAGGAACACAGGUGGCGAAGGCGGGUCUCUGGGCCGAUACUGACGCUGAGGAGCGAAAGCGUGGGGAGCGAACAGG